AGAGUUUGAUCCUGGCUCAGGACGAACGCUGGCGGCGUGCUUAACACAUGCAAGUCGAGCGGAAAGGCCACUUCGGUGGUACUCGAGCGGCGAACGGGUGAGUAACACGUGAGUAAUCUGCCCUUCACUUCGGGAUAGCCCUGGGAAACUGGGAUUAAUACCGGAUACGACCGGCGCCUGCAUGGGUUGUUGGUGGAAAGUUUUUUCGGUGGAGGAUGUGCUCGCGGCCUAUCAGCUUGUUGGUGGGGUAAUGGCCUACCAAGGCUUCGACGGGUAGCCGGCCUGAGAGGGUGACCGGCCACACUGGGACUGAGACACGGCCCAGACUCCUACGGGAGGCAGCAGUGGGGAAUAUUGGACAAUGGGCGGAAGCCUGAUCCAGCAACGCCGCGUGAGGGAUGACGGCCUUCGGGUUGUAAACCUCUUUCAGCGGGGACGAAGUUUUGUCUUUUUGGGCAAAGUGACGGUACCCGCAGAAGAAGCACCGGCCAACUACGUGCCAGCAGCCGCGGUA
rnacentral:rRNA from 1 species